rnacentral:pre_miRNA from 1 species
ACAGGAAUCACCUGGGGAUCUUGCUGAAAUCCAGAUUCUGGCUCCACGGGUCCCAGGUGGAACCUGAGAUUCUGCAUUUCCAACAAGCUCCUAGGUGAUACCCAC